CAAUGCGGAGAGUGCUUUGACCAGACCGGAGAACAUUGAACCCAAAAUAAUCCCAGAUUCUUGUAAAAACUGUUGUGGUAACCAGAGUCAAUUAGACGAAAAGCCAAUUACAUAAGGUUAUCGCAUUUUAUCAAAAUCAUCAAAGCUGGCUGUGAUAUGGAUUUGCUUACAAUGAACAUUUCACAACCCCUUUGACGACUCGGAGGAAUGCUCAAGUAAACAAAAUUAACCGAUUUAACAUGAAAUACAAACCAAUAUUUCAUCAUAAUUUGAAAAAAAGGAAAAGUUGUAAGUUGAAAAAGAGUCCCGCCAUCAUGAUGUUCCCAUUAUAUUCAAGGUGUCUUUUUUCUCUUUUUUGUUUCCCACAAUAAUCAUCACAGUAAAUUACAGUAUCUUUAAGUUAACAUGAGAGCACAAAACAAAUGGACAUAAACCAAUUUCCAGUCAUUGAAAGUUGAUUGAUUAUAAAAAAAUAACAAAGUUAUAAAAUAUAGCAAAUAAGAGGCAAAAAUAACGUUUGAAUGUGUGUUUGUGUUGUUUGAAUGAUAUUAUAUAUAGAGAGAGAGAGAAAGAGAG